UACGGGGGGAGCAAGCGUUGUUCGGAUUUACUGGGCGUAAAGGGCGCGUAGGCGGCCAGCACAAGUCAGUUGUGAGAUCUCCGAGCUUAACUCGGAAAGGUCAACUGAUACUGUGCGGCUAGAGUGCGGAAGGGGGCAACUGGAAUUCUUGGUGUAGCGGUGAAAUGCGUAGAUAUCAAGAGGAACACCUGCGGCGAAGGCGGGUUGCUGGGCCGACACUGACGCUGAGGCGCGAAAGCUAGGGGAGCGAACGGG
rnacentral:rRNA from 1 species